GCGACAGGCUUAACACAUGCAAGUCGAGGGGUAACAGGGUAGCAAUACCGCUGACGACCGGCGCACGGGUGAGUAACGCGUAUGCAACCUGCCUAUAACUGGGGAAUAGCUCCCUGAAAGGGGAAUUAACACCGCAUAACACUAUUGAUUCGCAUGGAUUAGUAGUUAAAUGUAGCGAUACAGGUUAUAGAUGGGCAUGCGUGACAUUAGCUAGUUGGUGAGGUAACGGCUCACCGAGGCUACGAUGUCUAGGGGUUCUGAGAGGAAGGUCCCCCACACUGGUACUGAGACACGGACCAGACUCCUACGGGAGGCAGCAGUGAGGAAUAUUGGUCAAUGGGCGCAAGCCUGAACCAGCCAUGUCGCGUGCAGGAAGACUGCCCUAUGGGUUGUAAACUGCUUUUAUAGUAGAAGAAACACAUCUACGAGUAGAUGUCUGCCAGUAUACUAUGAAUAAGCAUCGGCUAACUCCGUGCCAGCCGCUGC
rnacentral:rRNA from 1 species